AGCAGCCGCGGUAAUUCCAGCUCCAAUAGCGUAUAUUAAAGUUGUUGCAGUUAAAAAGCUCGUAGUUGAAUUUCGGGAUCAAUAUUUCGGUCAUGCCGUUGGUAUGCACUGUUAUCAUUGAUUUCUCACCUUCUAAAGAACCGUAAUGCCAUUAAUUUGGUGUUACGGGGAAUUAGGACUGUUACCUUAGAAAAAUUAGAGUGUUUAAAGCAGGCUCACGCUUGAAUACAUUAGCAUGGAAUAAUGAAAUAGGACAUCCGAUUCUAUUUUGUUGGUUUCUAGGAUCGAUGUAAUGAUUAAUAGGGAUAGUUGGGGCAUUAGUAUUCAAUUGUCAGAGGU
rnacentral:rRNA from 1 species